UACGUAGGGUGCAGGCGUUAAUCGGAAUUACUGGGCGUAAAGCGUGCGUAGGCGGUUUGUUAAGACAGGUGUGAAAUCCCCGGGCUUAACCUGGGAACUGCGCUUGUUACUGGCAGACUGGAGUGUGGCAGAGGGGGGUGGAAUUCCGCGUGUAGCAGUGAAAUGCGUAGAGAUGCGGAGGAACACCGAUGGCGAAGGCAGCCCCCUGGGCUAGCACUGACGCUCAGGCACGAAAGCGUGGGGAGCAAACAGG
rnacentral:rRNA from 1 species